rnacentral:rRNA from 1 species
UACGUAGGGGCCUAGCGUUGUCCGGAUUUAUUGGGCGUAAAGAGCUCGUAGGCGGUUUGGUUAGUCAGGUGUGAAAUCUCCACGCUCAACGUGGAGGGGCCACCUGAUACUGCCAUGACUUGAGUCCGGUAGGGGAGUGUGGAAUUCCCGGUGUAGCGGUGAAAUGCGCAGAUAUCUGGAGGAAUACCGGUGGCGAAGGCGGCAUCCUGGACCAUUACUGACGCUGAGGCGCGAAAGCUAGGGGAGCAAACGGGG